CAGUAGCCGCGGUAAUACAGAGGGUGCGAGCGUUAAUCGGAUUUACUGGGCGUAAAGCGUGCGUAGGCGGUUUGUUAAGUCGGAUGUGAAAGCCCUGGGCUUAACCUAGGAAUUGCAUUCGAUACUGGCGGACUAGAAAUCGGUAGAGGGAGGUGGAACUCCAGGUGUAGCGGUGAAAUGCGUAGAUAUCUGGAAGAACACCGAUGGCGAAGGCAGCCUCCUGGGCCUGAUUUGACGCUGAGGCACGAAAGCGUGGGGAGCAAACAGGAUUAGAUACCCGAGUAGUCCCUGUCUCUUAUAA
rnacentral:rRNA from 1 species